rnacentral:rRNA from 1 species
UACGGGGGAUGCAAGCGUUAUCCGGAUUUAUUGGGUUUAAAGGGUGCGUAGGCGGGAUGCCAGGUCAGCGGUAAAAAUGCGGUGCUCAACGCCGUCGAGCCGUUGAAACUGGCGUUCUUGAGUGGGCGAGAAGUAUGCGGAAUGCGUGGUGUAGCGGUGAAAUGCAUAGAUAUCACGCAGAACUCCGAUUGCGAAGGCAGCAUACCGGCGCCCUACUGACGCUGAGGCACGAAAGCGUGGGUAUCGAACAGG